GACGAACGCUGGCGGCGUGCUUAACACAUGCAAGUCGAACGGAGAUACAAUGAAGAUUUAUCAGAUUUGUAUUUUAGUGGCGGACGGGUGAGUAACACGUGGGUAACCUGCCCUAUGGAGGGGGAUAACACAUAGAAAUGUGUGCUAAUACCGCAUGACGUGCAAGAGUCGCAUGACUUUUGCAUCAAAGAUUUAUUGCCAUAGGAUGGACCCGCGGCCCAUUAGCUAGUUGGUGAGGUAACGGCUCACCAAGGCGACGAUGGGUAGCCGAUCUGAGAGGAUGAACGGCCACAUUGGAACUGAGACACGGUCCAGACUCCUACGGGAGGCAGCAGUGGGGAAUAUUGCACAAUGGGGGAAACCCUGAUGCAGCAACGCCGCGUGAGUGACGAAGGCCUUCGGGUUGUAAAACUCUGUCUUAGCUGACGAUAAUGACGGUAAGCUAGGAGGAAGCCACGGCUAACUACGUGCCAGCAGCCGCCGUAA
rnacentral:rRNA from 1 species